UUCUUUUUGUGUUUGAUCCAAGCAAAACCUUUAUGACUAGUCUUGGUGAUGGUUGUUUGAUCCUGCUGGAAAAAGACAGAAACUUUUCGCUCACGAGAUUAUUUUUCAUUUUUAUUCAGAAAGAGAUUUUGAGUUUAUUCUUUUUUCUUCUGGUUGAUAUGUCUUUUUCCUAGGCAGUAGUAAGUUUUCAGAAUUUUGGAGGUACCAGAAGUAUAC
rnacentral:lncRNA from 1 species